rnacentral:lncRNA from 1 species
GGAGUAAUAAGCAUUGUAGUAUUGCUCUUAUAUAGACUGUGUGGAGUGUCCAUAGGAGCGAAUUAACAUUGCUCUGCGCCACAAGCAAGUACAUGACACUAGCAUUUAGAACAUUGACGUUCAUUUCUUAAUUUUAGAGGCGGGCAGGCUAUCCGUCUCUAACCAAACAUUAUUGUUAAUUGCCAUUUACAGAGGCGAUCAUAAUAUCUUUCUUAAAACUCGAUAAAUGAAGGCAGACACCAUACCUUAAGGUGUUUGUCGCUAAAUGUCAGCCUUCGUUAAUGGUUUCUAGAAAACCCCC